rnacentral:rRNA from 1 species
AUUGAACGCUGGCGGCAUGCCUUACACAUGCAAGUCGAACGGCAGCACGGGAGCAAUCCUGGUGGCGGGUGGCGAACGGGUGAGUAAAGUAUCGGAACGUGCCCAGUCGUGGGGGAUAACGUAGCGAAAGUUACGCUAAUACCGCAUACGAUCUAUGGAUGAAAGCGGGGGAUCGCAAGACCUCGCGCGAUUGGAGCGGCCGAUAUCAGGUUAGGUAGUUGGUGGGGUAAAGGCUCACCAAGCCGACGAUCUGUAGCUGGUCUGAGAGGACGACCAGCCACACUGGGACUGAGACACGGCCCAGACUCCUACGGGAGGCAGCAGUGGGGAAUUUUGGACAAUGGGCGAAAGCCUGAUCCAGCCAUGCCGCGUGCAGGAUGAAGGCCUUCGGGUUGUAAACUGCUUUUGUACGGAACGAAAAGGUUUGGGCUAAUAAGCUGAGCUCAUGACGGUACCGUAAGAAUAAGCACCGGCUAACUACGUGCCAGCCGCCGCAGUAA